rfam:Glycine max cultivar Williams 82 chromosome 9, whole genome shotgun sequence.
UGGCUGUAGCUAAAUUAAUUCAAUUUCAGAAGCUUACUGGCCGGUUGUUGUGAUAUCCUUUUUGGGUCUCUGUCAACCAAUCUGCUUACCGAGCUUCUUACAUUC